rnacentral:tRNA from 1 species
GGGGUUGUAGCUCAGCUGGUUAGAGUACUUGCUUGACAUGCAAGGGGUCCCCAGUUCGAUUCUGGGCAGCCCCA